rnacentral:rRNA from 1 species
AUUGAACGCUGGCGGCAGGCCUAACACAUGCAAGUCGAGCGGAUGAAGGGAGCUUGCCCCUGGAUUCAGCGGCGGACGGGUGAGUAAUGCCUAGGAAUCUGCCUGGUAGUGGGGGAUAACGUCCGGAAACGGGCGCUAAUACCGCAUACGUCCUGAGGGAGAAAGUGGGGGAUCUUCGGACCUCACGCUAUCAGAUGAGCCUAGGUCGGAUUAGCUAGUUGGUGGGGUAAAGGCCUACCAAGGCGACGAUCCGUAACUGGUCUGAGAGGAUGAUCAGUCACACUGGAACUGAGACACGGUCCAGACUCCUACGGGAGGCAGCAGUGGGGAAUAUUGGACAAUGGGCGAAAGCCUGAUCCAGCCAUGCCGCGUGUGUGAAGAAGGUCUUCGGAUUGUAAAGCACUUUAAGUUGGGAGGAAGGGCAGUAAGUUAGUACCUUGCUGUUUUGACGUUACCAACAGAAUAAGCACCGGCUAACUUCGUG